CUCUCCCUCUUUCUUCAGGCCUAACACAUGCAAGUCGAACGAACUCUUCGUAGUUAGUUGCUGACGGGUGAGUCACACGUGGGAACGUUCCUUUUUAUUCGGAAUAACUCAUUUAAACGUGUGCUAAUACCGAGUGUGCCCUGCUGGGGAAAGAUUUAUCGUCAUUAGAGCGGCCCGAGUCUGAUGAGCUAGUUGGUGAUGUAACGGCUCAUCAAGGCUACGAUCAGUAGCUGGUCUGAGAGCAUGACCAGCCACACUGGGACUGAGAAACGGGCCAGAAUACUACGGGAGGCAGCAGUGGGGAAUCUUGCGAAAUCGGCGAAAGGAUGACGGAGCUAUGCCGCGUGAAUGAUGAAGGUCUUAGGAUUGUAAAAUUCUUUAACCGGCGGCGAUACUGACGGUACCCGAAGAAGAAGCCCCGGCUAACUUCGUG
rnacentral:rRNA from 1 species